rnacentral:rRNA from 1 species
GACGAACGCUGGCGGCGUGCUUAACACAUGCCAGUCGAACGGAAAGGCCCUGCUUUUGUGGGGUGCUCGAGUGGCGAACGGGUGAGUAACACGUGAGUAACCUGCCCUUGACUUUGGGAUAACUUCAGGAAACUGGGGCUAAUACCGGAUAGGAGCUCCUGCUGCAUGGUGGGGGUUGGAAAGUUUCGGCGGUUGGGGAUGGACUCGCGGCUUAUCAGCUUGUUGGUGGGGUAGUGGCUUACCAAGGCUUUGACGGGUAGCCGGCCUGAGAGGGUGACCGGCCACAGUGGGACUGAGGUACGGCCCAGACUCCUACGGGAGGCAGCAGUGGGGAAUAUUGCACAAUGGGCGGAAGCCUGAAGCAGCAACGCCGCGUGCGGGAUGACGGCCUUCGGGUGGUAAACCGCUUUCGCCUGUGACGAAGCGUGAGUGACGGUAAUGGGUAAAGAAGCACCGGCUAACUACGU